rnacentral:rRNA from 1 species
AAUGAACGCUGGCGGCGCGCCUAAUACAUGCAAGUCGAGCGAGAAGACGUAGCAAUACGUUUGUAAAGCGGCGAACGGGUGAGGAAUACAUGGGUAACCUACCCUUGAGUGGGGAAUAACUAGCCGAAAGGUUAGCUAAUACCGCGUACGCUUCUUGGACUUCGGUUCAGGGAGGAAAGCGCUACCGUGGGUAGCGCGCUUUUGGAUGGGCUCAUGUCCUAUCAGCUUGUUGGUGAGGUAACGGCUCACCAAGGCUUUGACGGGUAGCUGGUUUGAGAGGACGAUCAGCCACACUGGCACUGCGACACGGGCCAGACUCCUACGGGAGGCAGCAGUAAGGAAUAUUGCGCAAUGGGCGAAAGCCUGACGCAGCGACGCCGCGUGGGGGAUGAAGGUUUUUGGAUUGUAAACCCCUUUCGGGAGGGAAGAUGGAAUGGGGUAACUCAUUUGGACGGUACCUCCAGAAGCAGCCCCGGCUAACUUCGUG